UAAGAUAGCUCAGUUGGUAGAUCAUGAGACUCUUAAUCUCAGGGUUUGAGCCCCACAUUGGGCAAAA